UACGGGGGGGGGCAAGCGUUGUUCGGAAUUACUGGGCGUAAAGGGCUCGUAGGCGGCCAACUAAGUCAGACGUGAAAUCCCUCGGCUUAACCGGGGAACUGCGUCUGAUACUGGAUGGCUCGAGUUUGGGAGAGGGAUGCGGAAUUCCAGGUGUAGCGGUGAAAUGCGUAGAUAUCUGGAGGAACACCGGUGGCGAAGGCGGCAUCCUGGACCGGCAUUGACGCUGAGGCGCGAAAGCCAGGGGAGCAAACGGG
rnacentral:rRNA from 1 species